rnacentral:rRNA from 1 species
UACGAAGGGUGCAAGCGUUAAUCGGAAUUACUGGGCGUAAAGGGUGCGUAGGCGGUUCGUUAAGUCUGUCGUGAAAUCCCCGGGCUCAACCUGGGAAUGGCGAUGGAUACUGGCGAGCUAGAGUGUGUCAGAGGAUGGUGGAAUUCCCGGUGUAGCGGUGAAAUGCGUAGAGAUCGGGGGGAACACCCGUGGCGAAGGCGGCCAGCUGGGCCGGUCCUGACGCUGAGGCGCGAAGGCGUGGGGAGCGAACGGG